rnacentral:lncRNA from 1 species
UGAAUAAGGGAUAUUUCCUAAGUGAAUGGUCAACGACAGGGAGUGGUUUGGUCUUAGGGAUUUAGUGAGGAAGGUACUCAUGCACUCGAGUUAUAGUAAAACAUGUCUUCAUUAGUCAGGCAUCUUUUGAUUGUGAUGGAGACCCAAGUCAACAUGCCUGCAUCUAAAGGAAUGUAUUGCUUCCGUUAAAAGAUUCUAAGAGUUGCUUCAGGCAAGGCUGCAUCUGGUUGUCAGAGAACACAUUUCUCAUCUCUGCUGUUGGUCUUCUGGAUUCUCCACAAUGCAGGCUCUCCCCACGUGGUGGCUCCAUACUGUAUCAUGCACCGUUACUCACUGCAGGAGGAGGAGUGAACCUCUUUCCCAAGCUGCCUUCGAAAGCCCUUGGGAAGGCUCUCAUUGGCCCAGUUUAAGUCAUGUGCCUAAAUCUGCUGCUAUUGCCUUGCCAGGAAACCCAGGGCUGAUUGGCUGCGUGUGGCCCCAAGGGUACAUCCCUGGAUGCCAAGGAGGGGGGGGGGAGUCAGUUCCAUCUGGACACCAUGGACAGAGUUCAGGAGACAGAGACCUACCUAGAAGAGACGCUGGCUAGCGGAUAAUGCCCAGUGCUACCUGUGUGCAAGGCAGGUUUGCUCUACAGGUCAGGGGAGAAAUGCAGAAGACAGCAACGACACGCAAAUGUGCUGACUGUUCGGGAGGAGGUUCCCGCGGGUAGCCCAGAAUGCAAUCAACUGGCUGCUUUUGCCAACUCCAGCACCUGUCAUAUUUCAUCCUCCUUUAAAUAACUUCAAGGAUAUGAAAGUCAUAAAACCAAGCCCAGGCAAUGCUGGUUAUUCCAUAUAAUAAGUGCAACAAAGUUCUCUUUUGAAACGUUUUUUGGAAAAAAAAAAAACGAAGUUAAAAGAAGAAUCCCACGUAAAUCACCACGGAGAUGGACCAAAGAAAAGUCAAGACUGGGACAUGGGGAGGCCAGUGGUCAAAGUGCAGAAGCAGUGCCUUGGACUUGGCCGUCAGAGCCAGGUGCAGGCAGCUUCUUGUUUGUGAGGCUGUGCUUAACCCCUUUCCCUGCGGCCUUCGCCUCCCCCCAUGCUGGGUUGCUCAUCACCACCCAGUGUCCUUUGGCUGAGUCCGGGUUUUCAUCCCUGUCCGGAGAGCGCUCAGCUCUUUCAGUCCUGAUGCAAACCAUGAGGUUUGGGGUCUUUCCUUUUGGUCACUCUCUUCUGGAUAAAAUCAUCGUGACACUGUUUAUCUGCAAUCCGGGACUUCAGCUGGAGUUCCUGUGGUCUUGUAAGUCGCUGUUAUCAAUGUAUCAUAAGACUGCGUGUGUGUGUGUGUGUGUGUGUGAGAGAGAGAGAGAGAGAGAGAGAGAGAGAGGAGAGAAAGGCAGAGAGAGACUCAUUCCUCGAUUAAAAAAAAAAGUGCUCUGCUGCAGGGGGCUCCAAUCGAAAAGGAAACAAAGUUGCUAAAGAUCGACAAGGCCGCUUUGUUCGAGUUUCGAGUUUGCCGCACUUCCGCAUCCCAGCAACUCAGCGUUUCCAACAAUCCAAGAUGGCCCCUGGGGGAGGUACCUAGCCUGACCGGAGACCUCUGUACUGGUGAACAGUAUGUAUCCUUGGCUGUGAUUGGCCCUUGAGGGCGUGCCCAGCUCGUGUCCUGCCUUACCUUUCUGCUGGUUGGCUCAGUUCCCUUGUGCCCUGGACAGCCCCCUUUCUGUGUCUAUAUAAGCUUUUCCCCCUCCCAAUAAAGUCGAGAACCCGGGCA